AGUGAACGCUGGCGGUAGGCCUAACACAUGCAAGUCGAACGGCAGCACAGUAAGAGCUUGCUCUUACGGGUGGCGAGUGGCGGAUGGGUGAGGAAUACAUCGGAAUCUACUUUUUCGUGGGGGAUAACGUAGGGAAACUUACGCUAAUACCGCAUACGAUCUACGGGUGAAAGCAGGGGAUCUUCGGACCUUGCGCGAUUGAAUGAGCCGAUGUCGGAUUAGCUAGUUGGCGGGGUAAAGGCCCACCAAGGCGACGAUCCGUAGCUGGUCUGAGAGGGUGAUCAGCCACACUGGAACUGAGACACGGUCCAGACUCCUACGGGAGGCAGCAGUGGGGAAUAUUGGACAAUGGGCGAAAGCCUGAUCCAGCCAUACCGCGUGAGUGAAGAAGGCCUUCGGGUUGUAAAGCCCUUUUGUUAGGGAAGAAAAGCUGCAUGUGAAUACCCCGCUGUUCUGACGGUACCCAAUGAAUAAGCACCGGCUAACUUCGUG
rnacentral:rRNA from 1 species